GUAGGGAAUAUUGGGCAAUGGAAGCAAUUCUGACCCAGCCAUGCCGCGUGAAGGAAUACAGCCCUAUGGGUUUUAAACUUCUUUUAUUAUAGAGUAAACGGAGGUACGUGUACCUCCCUGCAAGUAUAUGAUGAAUAAGGAUCGGCUAACUCCGUGCCAGCAGCCGCGGUAAUACGGAGGAUCCGAGCGUUAUCAGGAUUUAUUGGGUUUAAAGGGUGCGCAGGCGGAUCAAUAAGUCAGGGGUGAAAAAUUUCAGCUUAACUGGAAUCGUGCCUUUGAUACUGUUGGACUAGAGUAUAAUUGACGUGACUGGAAUGUGAUGUGUAGCGGUGAAAUGCUUAGAUAUGUCACAGAACGCCAAUCGUGAAGACAGGUCACGAAAUUAUUACUGACGCUCAUGCACGAAAGCGUGGGGAUCAAACAGGAUUAGAUACCCCGGUAGUCC
rnacentral:rRNA from 1 species